UCCGGUUUAACACCGGCAGUUUCCUUAGAGUGCUCAACUAAAUGGUAGCAACUAAGGAUGAGGGUUGCGCUCGUUGCGGGACUUAACCCAACAUCUCACGACACGAGCUGACGACAGCCAUGCAGCACCUGUGUGGUAGCCAGCCAAACUGAAGUAAUCCAUCUCUGGAAAACAUACUACCCAUGUCAAGGCCUGGUAAGGUUCUUCGCGUUGCCUCGAAUUAAACCACAUGCUCCACCGCUUGUGCGGGUCCCCGUCAAUUCCUUUGAGUUUUAAUCUUGCGACCGUACUCCCCAGGCGGAAUGCUUAGCGCGUUAACUACGUCACUGAAACCUAAAGGUCCCAACAACUAGCAUUCAUCGUUUACAGCGUGGACUAC
rnacentral:misc_RNA from 1 species